GGAAACGCCCGGUCCCAUUCCGAACCCGGAAGCUAAGCCCUUCAGCGCCGAUGGUACUGCACUCGACAGGGUGUGGGAGAGUAGGACACCGCCGAAC
rnacentral:rRNA from 1 species